AGAUCAAAAGCUGAAGAUUCAGAGGAGCAGAUCCAGAUGUCCAGUUUGAACAACAGAGAUGGCAGGAUGUGAUGAUCCUGCAGCGCUGCUACCUGCUGCUGUAACUCUGGAAGCCGAGUUUGUCUCUGUGAAUGAAGUGUAAUGGUUACUGAUUGGUAGUUUGGCCACUUGAUGGCGCU